rnacentral:rRNA from 1 species
AUACGGAGGAUCCGAGUGUUAUCCGGAUUUAUUGGGUUUAAAGGGUGCGCAGGCGGCCAUUUAAGUCAGCGGUUAAAUCGUGGGGCUCAACCCCAUUCUGCCGUUGAUACUGGGUGGCUUGAUUGCGGUCGAGGUUGGCGGAAUUCGUUGUGUAGCGGUGAAAUGCAUAGAUAUGACGAAGAACACCGAUUGCGUAGGCAGCUGACCAGACCGCAAAUGACGCUCAUGCACGAAAGUGCGGGGAUCGAACAGGAUUAGAUACCCUGGUAGUCCGCACAGUAAACGAUGAAUACUUGUUUUCGGCGAUAUAAUGUCGGAGGCAAAGCGAAAGCGAUAAGUAUUCCACCUGGGGAGUACGCCGGCAACGGUGAAACUCAAAUGAAUUGACGGGG